GAUGAAGAACGUAGCGAAAUGCGAUACGUAAUGUGAAUUGCAGAAUUCAGUGAAUCAUCGAGUCUUUGAACGCACAUUGUGCCCCCUGGUAUUCCGGGGGGCAUGCCUGUCCGAGCGUCAUUGCUGCCCUCAAGCACGGCUUGUGUGUUGGGCCUCCGUCCUCCUCCCGGGGGACGGGCCCGAAAGGCAGCGGCGGCACCGCGUCCGGUCCUCGAGCGUAUGGGGCUUCGUCACCCGCUCUUGUAGGCCCGGCCGGCGCUUGCCGACACAUCAAUCUUUUUUCCAGGUUGACCUCGGAUCAGGUAGGGAUACCCGCUGAACUUAAGCAUAACAAUAAGCGGAGGA
rnacentral:misc_RNA from 1 species